AGCGCAGGCGGGAAGACAAGUUGGAAGUGAAAACCAUGGGCUCAACCCAUGAAUUGCUUUCAAAACUGUUUUUCUUGAGUAGUGCAGAGGUAGAUGGAAUUCCCGGUGUAGCGGUGGAAUGCGUAGAUAUCGGGAGGAACACCAGUGGCGAAGGCGGUCUACUGGGCACCAACUGACGCUGAGGCUCGAAAGCAUGGGGUACAAAC
rnacentral:rRNA from 1 species